rnacentral:piRNA from 1 species
UAUACACUUAAUGGGAAAGAA